UACGGGGGGGGCAAGCGUUGUUCGGAAUUACUGGGCGUAAAGGGCUCGUAGGCGGCCAACUAAGUCAUACGUGAAAUCCCUCGGCUUAACCGGGGAACUGCGUCUGAUACUGGAUGGCUUGAGUUCGGGAGAGGGAUGCGGAAUUCCAGGUGUAGCGGUGAAAUGCGUAGAUAUCGGGAGGAACACCGGUGGCGAAGGCGGCGACCUGGGUCGACACUGACGCUGAGGCGCGAAAGCGUGGGGAGCAAACAGG
rnacentral:rRNA from 1 species